UUACGGCCACAUCGCGUUGAAGCAUCGGUUCCUGUACGAUCAACGAUAUUAAGCAAUGUCGGGUCUGGUCAGUAUUUAGAUGGGUGAACCCUUAGGGAUACCAGGUGCUGUAAU